rnacentral:lncRNA from 1 species
CGUCUCUGCAGUCUCUGGGCGAAAAAAAGCAGGAGUUUUUGUGAGUGGUCAGGCAGGGAACAAUGACAGUGGAGUGCGCAUGCACGAGACGACUCCAUGUUUUUCUUUCAGUCUAUGAAUGAAUAUAACGUCGCCCAGUUGGAAUAUUAUCGCUAUUUUACGAGAAAAAUUGCAUAAAAAUAGAUUAGAAACAGCGUUUGACAUGCUUGAAAGUGCUGGGAUGGAAUAUUUUGAAUUUUUUUGUCACGAAAUGCACCCGCGCGUCACCCUUCGGAUACUGACAUGAACGCACGAACAAAACAGAGCUAUUUGGAUAUAACUAUGGAUUAUUUCGAACCAAAACAACAUUUGUUGUUGAAGUAGAAAUCCAUGGAGUGCAUUCUGACAAAGAACAGCAAAGGUUAUUGUCCUGCUGAAAGGUUUACUCCCAGUGUCUGGUGGGAAGCAGACUGAACCAGAUUUUCAUCAAGGAUGUUCCCUCAUAAACCUGCUCUCCACCACCAGUACUAGGAGAUUAAUGAUGGUGAACAAGCAGAACUUCAGGUCUAGCAGCCUGGACAACCAGAUGACGGGUCUGGAACGACAAUUCCAAUCCAGACAUCCACUGCCCUUUCUGGUGGUGGACUGCUCUGUUGGCAGAAAGACUAACAGGGUAAACCACCAGAGGGGGACCGGAAUGUCAAUCAGCAACCAGGACAUCCCCUGGCCAUUCUUGUGGUGCUUUACAGCUUUCAGAAAGCCUAUCCGUCUUAAGCACCAGAGGGGGACCGCAACGAUGAUCCACAACCAUGACAUCCCGUGGUCAUUUUUAUGUUGGUUUGUAACUUGCAGGAUAAUCACAAGAUUGAAUCCACCAGACGGGGACUGUCAUGACUUGCCCUCUUGGAUGGAGAUCAAAGGUGCCGGCUAACCAAAAGUUUCAAGACCCCCCUACUCCUGGGGGAGUUGGCCAGUUUUAUGAUGGUCAUAAAUACCGUACAGGAACUCUCUCUCCCACUCUGCAGAAAUUGAAGUUUUUACAAUAGAGUGAGAUUUUGCAGUACUGUAAAAUCAAAAGGUUGGACAUUGAAACAAUAUUUCUAACGUAAAUAAUGUGGGAAAUGGUUGGUGGGACUUAAAAGAUAAUCAUAUCAAAUCAGUUGUUGUUUGUGAUAUCGUUAACUUCUAUGGGCUAGGUGGACUCUAUUCAACAGCCAGUGGAAUCGCGUGGCGCGAAAUACAAAUACCUCAAAAAUUCAAUAAUUUCAAUAUUUCAAACAUACGACUAUUUUACACCAUUUGAAAGAUAAGACUCUCGUUAAUCUAACCACAUUGUCCGAUUUCAAAAAGGCUUUACAGCGAAAGCAAAACAUUACAUUAUGUUAGGAGAGUACAUAGACACAAAUAACCACACAGCCAUUUUUCAAGCAAGCAUAUAUGUCACAAAAACCCAAAACACAGCUAAAUGCGGCACUAACCUUUGAUCUUCAUCAGAUGACAAUCCUAGGACAUUAUGUUAUACAAUACAUGCAUGUUUUGUUCAAUCAAGUUCAUAUUUAUAUCAAAAAACAGCUUUUUACAUUAGCAUGUGAUGUUCAGAACUAGCAUUCUCACCCAAAACUUCCAGUGACUCAUUACUCAUCAUAAACGUUGACAAAAUACGUAACAAUUAUUUUAAGAAUAAUAGAUACAGAACUCCUUUAUGCAAUCGCUAUGUCAGAUUUUAAAAUAGCUUUUCGGCGAAAGCACAUUUUGCAAUAUUCUGAGUACAUAGCUCAGCCAUCACGGCUAGCUAAUUUGACACCCACCAUGUUCGAGCAACCUAAACUCAGAA